UGCUUUUGGAUUUGCGCUGAGGCUGAAAAACUCGGAGAGCAUGUGUUGUCAUCAGCUUCGUCUCUUCAUUACCAUGAGAUGGGAGUUAAAUAACAGCACGAGAUUG
rnacentral:snoRNA from 1 species